CUCGGCGCACCCAGAAACCCUUUGUGAACUUAUACCUAUUUGUUGCCUCGGCGUAAGGCUGGGCCCCCCGGGGCCCCCCCAGUUCUCUGGGGAGCAGGCCCGCCGGCGGCCAAGUAAACUCUUGUUUUUACCUGGAACUCUGAGUAAAAAAACAUAAAUGAAUCAAAACUUUCAACAACGGAUCUCUUGGUUCUGGCAUCGAUGAAGAACGCAGCGAAAUGCGAUAAGUAAUGUGAAUUGCAGAAUUCAGUGAAUCAUCGAAUCUUUGAACGCACAUUGCGCCCUCUGGUAUUCCGGAGGGCAUGCCUGUUCGAGCGUCAUUUCAACCCUCAAGCCUGGCUUGGUGAUGGGGCACUGCUCUGGAGACAGAGCAGGCCCUGAAAUACAGUGGCGAGCUCGCCAGUACCCCGAGCGCAGUAGUUAAACCCUCGUUCUGGAAGGGGCUGGCGGUGCCCUGCCGUUAAACCCCCAACUUCUGAAAAUUUGACCUCGGAUCAGGUAGGAAUACCCGCUGAACUUAAGCAUAUCAAUAAGCGGAGGAAAAGAAACCAACAGGGAUUGCCCUAGUAACGGCGAGUGAAGCGGCAACAGCUCAAAUUUGAAAUCUGGCUUCGGCCCGAGUUGUAAUUUGCAGAGGAUGCUUCUGGCGCGGUGCCUUCCGAGUUCCCUGGAACGGGACGCCACAGAGGGUGAGAGCCCCGUAUGGUCGGACACCAAGCCUGUGUGAAGCUCCUUCGACGAGUCGAGUAGUUUGGGAAUGCUGCUCUAAAUGGGAGGUAAAUCUCUUCUAAAGCUAAAUA
rnacentral:rRNA from 1 species